rnacentral:rRNA from 1 species
AGAGUUUGAUCAUGGCUCAGGACGAACGCUGGCGGCGUGCCUAAUACAUGCAAGUAGAACGCUGACUACUUUAGCUUGCUAGAGUAGAAGGAGUUGCGAACGGGUGAGUUACGCGUAGGUAACCUGCCUACUAGCGGGGGAUAACUAUUGGAAACGAUAGCUAAUACCGCAUAACAGUGUUUAACACAUGUUAGAUGCUUGAAAGAUGCAAAUGCAUCACUAGUAGAUGGACCUGCGUUGUAUUAGCUAGUUGGUGGGGUAACGGCCUACCAAGGCGACGAUACAUAGCCGACCUGAGAGGGUGAUCGGCCACACUGGGACUGAGACACGGCCCAGACUCCUACGGGAGGCAGCAGUAGGGAAUCUUCGGCAAUGGGGGCAACCCUGACCGAGCAACGCCGCGUGAGUGAAGAAGGUUUUCGGAUCGUAAAGCUCUGUUGUAAGAGAAGACACGUGUGUGAGAGUGGAAAGUUCACACAGUGACGGUAACUUACCAGAAAGGGACGGCUAACUACGUGCCAGCAGCCGCGGUAAUACGUAGGUCCCGAGCGUUGUCCGGAUUUAUCGGGCGUAAAGCGAGCGCAGGCGGUUUAAUAAGUCUGAAGUUAAAGGCAGUGGCUUAACCAUUGUUCGCUUUGGAAACUGUUAAACUUGAGUGCAGAAGGGGAGAGUGGAAUUCCAUGUGUAGCGGUGAAAUGCGUAGAUAUAUGGAGGAACACCGGUGGCGAAAGCGGCUCUCUGGUCUGUAACUGACGCUGAGGCUCGAAAGCGUGGGGAGCAAACAGGAUUAGAUACCCUGGUAGUCCACGCCGUAAACGAUGAGUGCUAGGUGUUAGGCCCUUUCCGGGGCUUAGUGCCGCAGCUAACGCAUUAAGCACUCCGCCUGGGGA